GCGGCCCGAGGAGGUGAGAGGAGUCAUCCACGAGAGGAGGAGUCAGAGAGGAGAAGGAGACGCAGCAAGCAGACGGUCUGACAUGCGCCUGCUACCCACUCGCAGUGCGCUACACUCCAGAGCUUCGCCUGUUCGCUCAGCUUCGUCUGUUCCAGAAUAAGCUUUACUGGCACAGACUGAACGAGGAGUUUGGCUUCCCUGAGUUGGACUGGUGGAUCUGAAACGUGGCUCCCAGCUGGCCAGCAUUUGGUUCCUCCUCUUCAGGCCGCGCCCACACAGGAACCAGGCUGUUGAAUACCUUCUUAUAUUAUUUUGACGCGACUUGUGAGGCUAAAAACUGGUUCUGACAUCUAGGUGCAGAAAGAUCUGCAUUCCCUCCAAAGCAACCGGAUUACACGCCCCCCUGGCCAUGGACACACCCACAAUCCAGCCUAACUCAGUCAUGUUCUGGUGAUUAAAAACA